rnacentral:rRNA from 1 species
ACGCUCGACACCUACGGAGGCAGCAGUGGGGAAUAUUGCACAAUGGGGGAAACCCUGAUGCAGCGACGCCGCGUGAAGGAUGAAGUAUUUCGGUAUGUAAACUUCUAUCAGCAGGGAAGAAAGUGACGGUACCUGACUAAGAACGCCCCGGCUAACUACGUGCUAGCAGCCGCGGUAAUCUGAGCGGGCUGGCAAGGC